rnacentral:rRNA from 1 species
UAGGGAAUCUUCCGCAAUGGACGCAAGUCUGACGGAGCAACGCCGCGUGAGUGAAGAAGGAUUUCGGUUCGUAAAACUCUGUUGUUAGAGAAGAACAGCGCAUAGAGUAACUGUUAUGCGUGUGACGGUAUCUAACCAGAAAGCCACGGCUAACUACGUGCCAGCAGCCGCGGUAAUACGUAGGUGGCAAGCGUUGUCCGGAUUUAUUGGGCGUAAAGCGAGCGCAGGCGGUCAAUUAAGUCUGAUGUGAAAGCCCCCGGCUCAACCGGGGAGGGUCAUUGGAAACUGGUUGACUGGAGUGCAGAAGAGGAGAGUGGAAUUCCAUGUGUAGCGGUGAAAUGCGUAGAUAUAUGGAGGAACACCAGUGGCGAAGGCGACUCGCUGGUCUGUAACUGACGCUGAGGCUCGAAAGCGUGGGUAGCAAACAGG